UGGAAUUCUGAAAGGUUUGGCACUGUUGGGCCUACUCUACAUAGCGGUUGUGAUGUCUGAAUCUGCUGAAUGUUAUAGUCCAUGGUAUUUUGUGUUGUCCUUAUGUGUCACAGACGCCAUAAAAGUGAAGCUUGGGUAGCUUAGAUCAUUUGCAUGUUAUCUAUCAUAUUUGUCCUAAAAGCUUGCAUUUGACCCAUCUGCUCCAUCAUGGUUGAUUAUUG
rnacentral:lncRNA from 1 species